UGUGACUAAACCUGAUAAGGUAAUCAUUCUGGAAGGAAGAUUACUUUAAAAGCAAUGCCCAAGGAUGAGCCGGCGGCGGAUUAGGUUGUUGGUGAGGUAACGGCUCACCAAGCCAGAGAUCCGUAGGGGCCUUGAGAGAGGUAGCCCCGAGAAGGACACUGAGAUACUGGUCCUAGCCCUAAGGGGUGCAGCAGGCGCGAAAACUUUGCAAUGCACGAAAGUGUGACAAGGGAACUCCAAGUGCUUAUACAAUGUAUAGGCUUUUGCCAAAUGUAAAUAGUUUGGCGAAUAAGUGGUGGGUAAGACGGGUGCCAGCAGCCGCGGUAACACCUGCGCCACGAGUGGCAGCCGAUAUUAUUUGGCCUAAAGCGUCCGUAGCUGGUCUUGAAAAUCUCUUGUGAAAGUGUUGGGCUCAACCUAACGAAUGGCAGGAGACACUCCAAGACUCGGAACCGGUAGGAGUCAGAAGUAUGUUAGGGGUAACGGUAAAAUGUUAUAAUCCCUAAUAGACUACCUGUGGCGAAGGCGUCUGACUAGGACGGAUUCGACAGUGAGGGACGAAAGCUAGGGGAGCGAUCCGGAUUAGAUACCCGAGUAGUCCUAGCCGUAAACACUGCGAGCAAGGUGUUGCAUAUUCUUYGUGAAUGUGCAGUAUCGAAGAGAAGUCGUUAAGCUCGCCGCCUGGGAAGUAUGGUCGCAAGACUGAAACUUAAAGGAAUUGGCGGGGGAGCACUACAAGGGGUGCGGCGUGCGGUUUAAUUCAAUUCAACGCGGGGAAUCUCACCAGAGGGGACGGCAGGAUGAAGGUCAGGCUGAAUGU
rnacentral:rRNA from 1 species